CGGGGUGUGGCGCAGCUUGGCAGCGCGCUUGGUUUGGGACCAAGAGGUCGCAGGUUCAAAUCCUGUCGCCCCGACCA
rnacentral:tRNA from 1 species